rnacentral:rRNA from 1 species
CUUCCCAUUCCGAACAGAGAAGUUAAGCCCGACCGCGCCGAUGGUACUGCGUAACAGUGGGAGAGUAGGUAGCCGCCGUCU